rnacentral:rRNA from 1 species
AGUGAACGCUGGCGGUAGGCCUAACACAUGCAAGUCGAACGGCAGCACAGUAAGAGCUUGCUCUUACGGGUGGCGAGUGGCGGACGGGUGAGGAAUACAUCGGAAUCUACUUUUUCGUGGGGGAUAACGUAGGGAAACUUACGCUAAUACCGCAUACGACCUACGGGUGAAAGCAGGGGAUCUUCGGACCUUGCGCGAUUGAAUGAGCCGAUGUCGGAUUAGCUAGUUGGCGGGGUAAAGGCCCACCAAGGCGACGAUCCGUAGCUGGCCUGAGAGGAUGAGCGGCGACAUUGUAACUGCGCCACGGUACAGACUACUACGGGCGUCAGCAGUGGGUGAUAUUGGACAAUGGGCGCAGGCCUGAUCCAGUCAUACCGCGUGAGUGAAGAAGGCCUUCGGGUCGUAAAGCCCUUUUGUUGGGACAGAAAAGCAGCAGGUUAAUACCCCGCUGUUCUGACGGUACCCAAAGAAUAAGCACCGGCUAACUUCGUG